rnacentral:rRNA from 1 species
UACGUAGGUGACAAGCGUUGUCCGGAUUUACUGGGCGUAAAGAGCGCGCAGGCGGUCGUUCAAGUCGAGUGUGAAAGCCCCCGGCUCAACUGGGGAGGGUCACUCGAUACUGAUCGACUCGAAGGCAGGAGAGGGAAGUGGAAUUCCCGGUGUAGUGGUGAAAUGCGUAGAUAUCGGGAGGAACACCAGUGGCGAAGGCGACUUCCUGGGCUGUUCUUGACGCUGAGGCGCGAAAGCUAGGGGAGCAAACGGG